rnacentral:rRNA from 1 species
UGAGGAAUAUUCUGCAAUGGGCGAAAGCCUGACAGAGCAAUAUCGCGUGAAGGAUGAAGGCCUAUUGGUCGUAAACUUCUUUUCUUAAGGAAGAAGAUUCUGACGUUACUUAAGGAAUAAGCAUCGGCUAACCCUGUGCCAGCAGCCGCGGUAAUACAGGGGAUGCAAGUGUUAUCCGGAAUCAUUGGGCGUAAAGCGUUUGUAGGUGGGUAUUUAAGUCUUAAGUGAAAUCUCUAAGCUCAACUUAGAAACGGCAAAAGAAACUGAAUAUCUUGAGUUUAAUAGAGGUAAAGGGAAUUUUUAGUGGAGCGGUGAAGUGCGUAGAUAUUAAAAAGAACACCAAGAGCGAAGGCACUUUACUGGGUUAAUACUGACACUGAGAAACGAAAGCUAGGGGAGCAAACAGG